rnacentral:lncRNA from 1 species
AAAAAAAAAAAAAGGAAAUCUUAUGUUUUGAUUACAUUUCUCUCUCUCUUCACUUACUCACCACUCAAACCCGAGAACCAUCUGAAAUUUCUUACUUUCUCAAAAAUUCUUUCUCUCAUUUUGCUUUAACCCCUCAAAAUUUUCUCCAGAAACCUCAAAGCCAAACCCUAAUGGUUUGUUUUCUUCUUAUUCAUAGUUACCCAAAACAAACUGGAAAAACCCUAACCUUUGCCUUGUUUUCCUCUCAUCUUGGAACCCUCAAAACCCUAACUUUUGCCUCGUUUUCCUUUCAUCCUGAAAACCCAAAUCCCGUGAUGUUAACCUCUUCAUUUCCCAUAAACCCUCCAGAAUCACAAAAUUCAUGUAACUGAAAUGGAGAAAAUUGUUAACUCACAACUUCACGGUGUAGAUUCAGGGACAUGGGGAGUUGUAGGUGCUCCAUCGUUAUCUCUCUAAGGCUCUAGUUGUUAGUCUCUCUCUUCGUCGCCAUCAACAGGUGAAUAUCUUUUUCCGUAGCUAUUCUGAUCAUGCUUGUAUCAUUCAUUUUGUGAUUUUGUUUUGUUGUUGUUAUUUAUUUUUUUUUUUGGUUUUUUUUUUAUAUGUUGAUGAAAUUGGAUGUAGUUGGAUAAUGACAGGUGGAGUGUGUUAAUGAUGUGUCGCUAGUUAUUCGAUGGAUGAGGUAGGAAGGGAAAAAGGGGGAGAAAUUUGGCAUUUCUGAUUUUGGAUUUAUUAUUGAAAAAUUAGGGCUUAAUAAAUUAACAGAAUGUUUUUUUUUUUUUUGUGUGGAUGGUUAUUCUUUUUUGCAUUCUUAUUGUUUAUUUUGGAUUAUGCUUAAUUGAAGCCAUGGAUUGUUAGAACUUCUGGUUAUUACUAAUUUUUUUUAGUUAAUUUUCUGAUACAAUGAUUCAUGCACUGUUAUUUAAGCUUGGUGAAUGGGUUUAUAUGGCCUUGGAUCUUCCACCGUGCUCAUUCUCAUAUAUUUUUAAUAGGAAUCUGGGACCAUGCUAUUUGAUUUGCUUAUUUUCUUGAUUUUUAUGGAUGAUUCACAAUAUGUAGUUACUAGAGGCGAUGAGAUGCCUAAAACUAUUUUUUGAAGGAUGCUAGAGUGGUUUUGCCAAAUUUAUGAUGUCAGUAGAUAUUUAGGAUGCUACUCUUUUAAGGCUUCAAGCAUACUUAAUAAAUUCAUGCUUCAAUUUGCUAAGUGAGAAGAAAAACAUUUGUUAAGAAAAAGUUUAAACUUUUGCAGCGUUUUUCAUCUGAUAAAUUGUUAAGAAAAUAAAUGAAAAGGUUAUGGUUGAAUUAGCUAUUGUAUGCAAUGACAAAUGUUUUUUUUUUUUUUUAAAAAAAAAAACUUUUAAGUUUUCAAUUUAGAUUAUCCGUUAUUUAUAUGAAUCAAUAUUUGAUAUUGUCUUUUAUUUAUCCAUGAUAUUGUUUUCUUGUAGGAAAAUAAGCACAUAUUUUGUCUUUGAAUUUGCCUUUGCAAGUUUCUGAGUUCUCUAUUGUUUUACCUUUGUUUUCUUACUAACCAAGCAAAUAUUUCUAAUUUAUUUUUAAAUUCUGAUACACAUUCUCUUUAAUUGCAUGCAUCCAUAUUUGGCAUUUUCUUUUAUUUACCCAUUGAAUUAUCUAAUGCAAGUUUCAAAUUUGAUUUUCCUGUUCCUGGAUAUCUCAGCAACCAAAAGGUUUUAUUUUCUUUAAGUUCUCAUUCUCCCUACAUGCAUGACAUGGCAUGGAAUUCUUUUAUCAUUUUUCCUGACUUUUCCAAUUUUUUCUAUCAUGCAUUCUCAUAUUUUUUGUGUUCUUUAUUGCUUUAGUGAAAUCUCAUUUAGAUUGAAUGAUUAAUUGUUUAGGGUGUUUGAAGUUCUAAUUUCAUGAUAUAAUGAUAUCUUUAUAUUUUUUUCUUUAGAUAUAUAUAUAUAUAUAUAUAUAUAUAUAUAUAACAACAUUGAGAGGAACAUUACUUGAAUUAUCACAUUUUCAAAAUGGUAGGGAUUCAAAGAAAAUGAUAGAAGGUAUUUGAUUUUCUUCAUAUACUUUUAUGAUAACUGUUGUUGUCUUUUCAGUUUUAUGUUGAAUAUCUGUGAUAAACAAUGAUUGUGAUUUAUAGUAUACUAACUUGUAAUAACAAUUUUGUGGGGAACUAUUACUAAUACUGCAAAUUCCAUUCUGAAACUAGAGGAGGCAUAAGUAAUAAAUCCCAUACAACAUGAAGCAUUAUGGUGCCAAGGAAAUGGCCUCACUAAUCAAGCAAUGAUGUUCUUGUGACCUGGUUGAGCUUUCUAUGACUCCAUUUUUGGACACUUUUUUUUUUGUUGCUCAUUUGAUAGCCUUUGAUCUAAUUAAUUUAAAAUUUCAUUUUAAUUACUAGUGAAUUCAUUAUUGAUCAUAUGUUGUUAGGCGUCAAAGAUGUAUGAGGACAUCCAUACUAA